GCGGGGGUGGCGGCGGCAUCCC
rnacentral:miRNA from 1 species